CCCUUAGAUGUCCGGGGCCGCACGCGCGCUACAAUGGAUGAAUCAACGCGUCAUCCUGGCCCGAAAGGGUUGGGGAACCGCUGAACCUCAUCCGUGGUUGGGAUUGGGGUUUGUAAUUAUUCCCCAUGAACUAGGAAUUCCCAGUAAGCGCGAGUCAUAAGCUCGCGUUGAUUACGUCCCUGCCCUUUGUACACACCGCCCGUCGCUACUACCGAUUGGAUGGUUUAGUGAGAUCCUCGGAUUGGUCCCGGAGCGGCCUCUGGUCGUGCCGGAGUGCCGAAAAGAAUGUCGAACUUGAUCAUCUAGAGGAAGUAAAAGUCGUAACA
rnacentral:rRNA from 1 species